GUCUAAGGCCAUAGAACCCUCAAUGCCUCUGAUCUUGUCUAAUCUUGGAAGCUAACCAAGGUCUGGCCUGCUUAGCCCUGGAUGAGGAAACACCUGUGAAGUCUGGGCACUGUAGACA
rnacentral:rRNA from 1 species